rnacentral:antisense_RNA from 1 species
GAAUUACAAUGUUUUAUAGGUUGUAAUUCAGAAAUACAAGUACAUAAAAACCAUCUGUUAGAGGAUAUGCCAUUGAAAGGGACAACCAACUAAUUUAAAAAUUAUCUAUUGGGUGAUAUGAUUAACAAUAUUUCAAAGAAUUUUUUAAGUGUUUGGUUCUUAUUAAUGGACUGGUAUUUCAUUUCUGACCAGUAUCAUGUAAAAGCUUCCCUAAAAUUUUUAUUCUGGUUUACAUGGAUUAGCAUAAAGAUAGAGCAAAAAUUUAAUCUUUGAAGGAGAUCUGGUUAGAUCCAUGGAUAUCUGAAUGGCAUUGAUUUAUAAACCAACAUUAUUACUUGUGUGUUAAUAAUGAAAUCUAAAACUUAGUAUAAGUUCUUAAAUGAAAUUCAUUUGACUUUCUGAUAUGAGUGACUCUUAAGGUUAGAAACUAAUAUAAAUUUAGAAAAAUGAAACCAAAUGUUUUCAACAAAGUAAUUUAUUUUUUUCCUGAGACUAAAUUCAGUACAGUAUUUGUUUUUAUAACAUCCAACAUGUCUUAUGUUAAACUUAACCACGUUCUAUGCAGUGACUGUGGUGAGAUGAUCUAUUUUAUUUGACUACCCUCAAUGUAAUUCAUUUGGGUAGUUCUAAGGCAUAUCAGUGAUCAAAAUGUUUCUCCCUACAGUUACUCUUGCAUUCUCAAUCAGUUUCUUCUGCACAUCAUCUAAAGAAAAUUUAUGUGGUAUGAUUACACUCUUUUUUUGUUUAAUACCAGAAUUUCUAAAACUAAGAAAAACACUAACAUUUAAAACAUCAGUGUUUCUAGUCAAGGAUAUUUCAAUUAAAUUUCAUCAGUACAUUAUAGUUUAACUCAUGCUAGAAAUGUUAAAACCCAAGAUCUUCUGAGUCACAUAAUACCAACAUUUCAUAUUAACGAAUAAAUUACUCAAGUUCUAUACAAAGAUACUAAGUGAAGAGAAACAGAAAAAGCUAAGCUUUCAAUAGUUUUAAAAAAUACAGAAGCAAACUAAUGAACACAACUACACAAAAUAUAUGCUAACCAAUUGCAAGCUAAACUAGUUAGAGAUUAACCUUUAAAAAAAUACAUUUUAGAACUUAGAAGCAAACUAAUGAACACAACUACACAAAAUAUACACUAACCAAUUGCAAGCUAAACUAGUUAGAGAUUAACCUUUAAAAAAAUACAUUUUAGAACUUCGUGAUACCCUCAUAAAAGGCAGCAAACUAAGGGUAUUAAAACAGUAGUCAUUAUUUCAGUUACUGUGCAUCAAGUCUAAAAGAUCCAGAUAAAGGGAAUGUUUUGUGAUUCAAUUUAAAUAACUUUAAAAUUGGAAACAUUUAAUAAUUGAUAAUAUAAUUAAAAUUUAAAGAAUAUACACAAAUGAUCUGAAUAGCUUUUAUAUUCAGUAACUUGCAUGGUUUUUACACUGGCACUUUUAUCAUUAAUUUAGGAGAAUCAGAUCCAUUUCCCUCCAUAUACUUAGGCAUUAAGAUUUCAAAUUUAUAAAUAUGGUAGUAUUUUAAAUAUUAAAUUUUUACAUGAAUAUUGGGUUUAUCCGUAUUUUCCUUUGUUUCCCAGGUAUUAUCCAGUUUUGUAAGGAAAACACUUUUAUAUCACAAUCAAAACUUGUCUUGGUUACUAGGCUGUAGCCAUAAUUGGGUUACAGUCACUUAGAUUCAUUAUUUGGAAUUAUACUUAACUAAGACAGACCUAAAUGAAACUUAUCUCCUAGAAGAAUUUCACAUUUGCAUUUACCUGCACGGCAGAAUGAGUUUAAGCAUAUUUUAGCUGUUGGGAAAUAUUAAAUUUACUUAAACUUGUUAUCUGACUACUCAGAACUCUGAGUAGUCAACUGUACCUUUGCGUUUACUUAAAACUAUAUCGGAUUCACUUCAAAUAGAAGAUUUUUAAAUAGAAGUUAGACUUCAUUAAGGUAUUGGUAUUAACUUUAAAUCUGAAAGAAAACAUACUGAAAGUUUGACAAGUUCAUUAAAAAAUUUUUAGCAUGUCUUGAUAUAUUUAUCAGCUUUUUAUUCUUCUUUCUGCUGGCAUUUCCUUAAUGUUUGUUUGUUUCACCUCUCUGGUUCAUUGGAUUGCUACUAUUUAUGCUUUCAUGGACUUUGUAUCUUCACAGUUUACUGUAUCUUGUAAAGCCUUUACCACAUCAGCUGUACUGGCUGUUUUUGGCAAGGUCAUCUGCAGUGCACACCACAGGGCAGUGCGUGUUUUCCGAGUAGCCACACACAUCUCUUUAAUUGCUGAAGCAAGGGCAAAAACAUCUGUAAAAUAAACAUUCAGGGUCAUUUCAUAUUAAAUGCCAUUUAAAUAUCUGUUAAAUCUUACAAGACCCAGUGCUUUUGCUACUAAAUGAUCAAAUGUUAUUUUUGUAAAAAAAGGAUAGUUAUUGAUUGAACCAAAGUCCUGUCCUUUAUCAUUAAAAUAUUUAAAAGUAUUGAUACUUUAUUUCUGACUUGUAUGAUAGUGACUGUACUUUGAGUAGAACACAGACUAUCUUGAAACAGUUAUAAUAGACAAAAUUAAUAAAAUGGAAAUACUUUUGGAGUAA